rnacentral:lncRNA from 1 species
AAAUUUAAAAUAAAAACACGCAACAUGUUAAUUUAAAUACCAAGUAAAAACAUACAUAAUUAUAACAUUAAUCACCGUGCCAAAUAGUGUCCUCGCGUAAAUGGAGGAAAAAUAACAAAUAUAAAAUAGAAAAUGACACUUAAUUUAUUUUAUUAAAGUAAAAAACAAAUUUUUGAAAUAAAGGAAAAAAAAUACAAGAAACGAAAAAAAGAAGAAUCAAACCACAUUUUAAAGAAAAAACAAACAACUGUACAUAAAUGCAGGAAAUUUUCCAAAAAAAAGAAAAGUAAAGAAAAGGUCAUCAAUCAGCCACAAG